ACGUAGGGGGCUAGCGUUAUCCGGAAUUACUGGGCGUAAAGGGUGCGUAGGUGGUUUCUUAAGUCAGAGGUGAAAGGCUACGGCUCAACCGUAGUAAGCCUUUGAAACUGGGAAACUUGAGUGCAGGAGAGGAGAGUGGAAUUCCUAGUGUAGCGGUGAAAUGCGUAGAUAUUAGGAGGAACACCAGUUGCGAAGGCGGCUCUCUGGACUGUAACUGACACUGAGGCACGAAAGCGUGGGGAGCAAACAGGA
rnacentral:rRNA from 1 species